rnacentral:rRNA from 1 species
GUGCUCCUACGGGAGGCAGCAGUGGGGAAUAUUGCACAAUGGGGGAAACCCUGAUGCAGCGACGCCGCGUGAAGGACGAAGUAUUUCGGUACGGAAACUUCUAUCAGCAGGGAAGAAAAUGACGGUACCUGACCAAGAAGCCCCGGCUAACUACGUGCCAGCAGCCGCGGUAAUACAUAGGGGGCAAGCGUUAUCCGGAAUUAUUGGGCGUAAAGGGUGCGUAGACGGAAGAACAAGUUGGUUGUGAAAUCCAUCGGCUCAACUGAAGAACUGCAACCAAAACU